AUUGAACGCUGGCGGCAGGCUUAAGACAUGCAAGUCGAGCGAGCGGCGGACGGGUGAGUAAUGUCUGGGAAACUGCUUGGUGGAGGGGGAUAACUACUGGACACGGUAGCUAAUACCGCAUACCAUCAGAUGUGCCCAGAUGGGAUUAGCUAGUUGGUGGGGUAUUGGCACACCUAGGCGACGAUCCCUAGCGGGUCUGAGAGGACGACGUGCCACACUGGAACUGAGACACGGUCCAGACGCCUACGCGAGGCAGCAGGGGGGAAUAUUGCACAAUGGGCGCAAGCCUGAUGCAGCCAUGCCGCGUGUGUGAAGAAGGCCUUCGGGUUGUAAAGCACUUUCAGCGAGGAGGCGUUACUCGCAGAAGAAGCACCGGCUAACUCCGUGCCAGCAGCCGCGGUAAUUC
rnacentral:rRNA from 1 species